UUUUCCAUUUACUGCACUGUUAAGUGAAAUUGUUCUUAUAUUUUUCUAUGUUUAUAUUAUUUACUUUGCAUUGCUAUUUACUUAGUUUGUUAAUAAAAUGUUUAACUAUUCUAUACUUCUAGUUUUUAGUGCAGAUGCUUUAAAACUGGUUUAAAAACAAUAUAAUAUAUCGUGAUUAUAAUCGAGAUCGAAUGAUAUGAAAAAAAAAAUCGUGAUCAUUUUUUUUGCCAUAUCGCCCAGCCCUAACUGCAAUUAAUAGUAAUUAACUGACUGAGUAGUAAAUGUUGACUUUCCUCUGACGACUCUGGCCGUCGGGUUUAACUCAGUGGUUUGAUGAACGACUUCGCCUUUGGAAAAAAAAGACGUCCAUCAGUGUUUUUACUUUCGCUUUUCCGGGUUUGAGAAUAAAAGAGGAACUUACCGCAGUUUACCGCCACAGCUGUCCCCAAGAGGACGAGCAGAAAGAGGGGGAACAUGUUGACCGUCCAGGCGGACCCCGUCCCGCUCCCCGGACCAGCUUUAUUCGCCUUCAGGACCGACUCUCCCUCCGGAGUGACUCCGCUCGAAGCGUCUGCUGCUCGGUCUCCGCUUCUUGCUUCUGCCCGCUGCCAGAUCACGGUCCCUGGGACAAAAGGGCGGUGCUGCGUUCAAGGACCGCGGCGGCUACGCACUCAGAUCUGCUGCUGCCGUCUGUGAACGCAGCGCCACUAAAUUAUUCAUUUUUAUUUAAAAGAACUUCCCUCUGGCUUGAUAAAGUAUUUUUAUUGUAUAUGAAUACAAAAAAAAAAAAACAGAAAUGAAAACUUAUAAAACUUCUGAUAAAAAGAAAUAACACUUACAAUCAUAGGCGUCACACACACACACACACUUUUUUCCAGGGGUAUUUCUUUGUCCACCUCACACAAAUCCUUCACGUGUAGCCUUUGUAACCCCGGUUAAUUUCAGUAGUAUUUAACAUUCCGGUGCUCAUGAACGCACCAUCCACUGACUGCAGAGACGCACAUAGAUGUUCACGACAAAACAACGUGCGGAUGCUCUGUGCUCUGUUCCAUUGGAAGGUCCGACCCCCCCCCCCCCCCCCCCCCCCCCCACACACACACACACACACACACACACACACACACACACACAUUCCACCGGACACGAAAGCGCUGCGCAGCGGAGCGCCAGCGUCUGUUCUGAGCAAGCUCUUUCUUCUGAAACACCUGUGGUCCAGAGUUCUAGGCUACAAGCUUGUCUCUAUGGACAUGGCAGACAGCCACACUGCUGAACCUCUUCUGGGACAUCGUGGAGCAGAGCCUCGUCUUCAGACGCCGCAGAGAACUGAGGCUUCUCUCUGCUUCACAAGAGAACACUGGACCACCAGCUAGAGCCGGACCAGGGUCUGACCAGGGUCUCCACUGGAACCACCAGCAAGAACCAGGGUCUCCUGAUACACACUGCACUUCCAUUGUAACUAGUAAUCUGUAACCUGGGACAUAACCUCACUGUGAUUUUAUUCUUUCUCUCUUUCUUUGAACAGACCUCCCCUCUUCAUUCUCACUCUCCUGUUGUUGCAGCUUUGUUUAUUUCUGAACUCUAAUCCUGAACAAAUAAAAUAAUGGAAACACUCCUGA